GAUGAACGCUAGCGGCAGGCUUAAUACACGCAAGUCGAACGGGAUUGAGAAGCUUGCUUUUCAUGAGAGUGGCGCACGGGUGCGUAACACGUAUGCAACCUACCUUGUCCAGGGGGAUAGCCCGUUGAAAGACGGAUUAAGACCGCAUAACAUUGAGCUGUGGCAUCACAAAUCAAUAAAAAAUUUAUAGGGACAAGAUGGGCAUGCGCCUGAUUAGGUAGUUGGCGGGGUAAUGGCCCACCAAGCCGACGAUCAGUAGGGGAUUUGAGAGGAUGACCCCCCACACUGGUACUGAGACACGGACCAGACUCCUACGGGAGGCAGCAGUAAGGAAUAUUGGUCAAUGGGCGAAAGCCUGAACCAGCCAUGCCGCGUGCAGGAAGACGGCCCUACGGGUUGUAAACUGCUUUUAUACGGGAAUAACCCCGGUUUCGUGAAACCGGCUGAAUGUACCGUAAGAAUAAGGAUCGGCUAACUCCGUGCCAGCCGCCGCAGUAA
rnacentral:rRNA from 1 species